AAGACCUUGCGCUUUUGGAGCGGCCGAUGCCUGAUUAGCUUGUUGGUAAGGUAAAAGCUUACCAAGGCUUCGAUCAGUAGCUGGUCUGAGAGGACGACCAGCCACACUGGGACUGAGACACGGCCCAGACUCCUAUGGGAGGCAGCAGUGGGGAAUUUUGGACAAUGGGGGCAACCCUGAUCCAGCCAUGCCGCGUGAGUGAAGAAGGCCUUCGGGUUGUAAAGCUCUUUCAGCCGGAACGAAACGGUUACGGUUAACACCCGUGACUACUGACGGUACCGGAAGAAGAAGCACCGGCUAACUACGUGCCAGCAGCCGCGGUAAUACGUAGGGUGCGAGCGUUAAUCGGAAUUACUGGGCGUAAAGCGUGCGCAGGUGGUUUUGUAAGUCAGAUGUGAAAGCCCCGGGCUCAACCUGGGAACU
rnacentral:rRNA from 1 species